rfam:Schistosoma mattheei strain Denwood, Zambia genome assembly, scaffold: SMTD_scaffold0001546
GCACUGCCGAGGAGUCCCACAAAAGGACGGAACGGCCGUCCAGUGC